rnacentral:tRNA from 1 species
GGCACUUUGGCGGAGUGGUUAACGCGAUGCCCUGCUAUACAUCAAUAGACUAGGCAUUCCCUUCGGGGGCGUGUGUUCGAAUCACACAGGUGUCG